GGGGUGGAGCAGCCUGGUAGCUCGUCGGGCUCAUAACCCGAAGGUCGUCGGUUCAAAUCCGGCCCCCGCAACCA
rnacentral:tRNA from 16 species